rnacentral:rRNA from 1 species
UCAGGAUGAACGCUAGCGGCAGGCUUAAUACAUGCAAGUCGAACGGGAUUCAGGUAGCAAUACUUGAUGAGAGUGGCGCACGGGUGCGUAACACGUAUGCAACCUACCUUUAACUGGUGAAUAGCCCGGGAAAUCGGGAUUAAUACACCAUAACAUUACAAGAGGGCAUCCUCUAAUAAUUAAAGAACUUCGGUUAAAGAUGGGCAUGCGGGACAUUAGCUAGUUGGUGAGGUAACGGCUCACCAAGGCAACGAUGUCUAGGGGUCCUGAGAGGGUUAUCCCCCACACUGGUACUGAGACACGGACCAGACUCCUACGGGAGGCAGCAGUAAGGAAUAUUGGUCAAUGGGCGCAAGCCUGAACCAGCCAUGCCGCGUGAAAAGGAAGACGGCGCUAUGCGUUGUAAACUUCUUUUGUCAGGGAAUAAAUGUAGGUACGUGUACUUACUUGAAGGUACCUGAAGAAUAAGCAUCGGCUAACGUCCGUGCCAGCCGCAGC